UACGUAGGUGGCGAGCGUUGUCCGGAAUUACUGGGUGUAAAGGGAGCGUAGGCGGGAGUGCAAGUUGAAUGUAUAAACUAUCGGCUCAACUGAUAGAAGCGUUCAAAACUGCACUUCUUGAGUGAAGUAGAGGCAGGCGGAAUUCCUAGUGUAGCGGUGAAAUGCGUAGAUAUUAGGAGGAACACCAGUGGCGAAGGCGAGUUGCUGGACUGUAACUGACACUGAGGCACGAAAGCGUGGGGAGCAAACAGG
rnacentral:rRNA from 1 species